GGGCGCCAUUUGUGGCUUAUAAACCCUCCAGACUUGAAUUGUAUCUCUAUGAACAUUUUAGAGUAAUAAAACAGUGUGUUUAGAUGAAAAAAGAAAACCCCCAAUGCUAGCCUCUUGCCGCAAAAAAAAAACAACAAAAAUGCCAGCCUCUUCCAUUGGUGUCUCCUCCUCACUGGAGAACAGCGGCGGCAAACUUCUUCUCACUCUCGCCUCGCACUGUCUCCCCAAUCCGGCUGAGAGCCUCCUGCACACCGCCGACUCGCUCUCCUUUGCCUCAGCUAGCCGUCCUCCUGCCAUCGCUUAGCGGCGAGAACACCACGACGCCGCUCGCUCUUCUCCCGCCGACCUCAUCUCCUCCUAGAUCUCUGCAGAGCGCCUCCUGUUGGAUGACCUCGCGUGUGCGCCGCCCGCCGCUUCACACAUGAGCGCCGCCAUCUUGCUUCCGUUCUGGAGAGCCUCCCGACAGCCGCCGCUGGCCUCUCCAUUCUCCCUCGCGCCUGCCUGCCCUCCGCCUCGCCUUGCUUCCGCCCAAGGUAGUUAAUUGUAAGGGCGAUCUUGCACAGUUCUACCUGAUGCACUGCGUAAUCAAGUCUUUCCAGACUUGUUGAGCGCCUUUCCCCAGCUAUAGCCAAGUGUUGAUAUCAAAACGGUGCCAUCUCAACUCAUGGAUAUACUGCCACAAGUCCUGAAACUGAAAGAACUGGAUCAUCAGCCUCCAUGAUGAGACACACACAGCAAGGCAGACUCGGCCCUGCUCCAGCGAGUACAGGGGUUUGUCAACUGUCAGCGUCCGAGCUCAGACCGCUCAUCACACCUCCAACAAUGCUCAUGAACACCUCAUGCAUGAGAUCCAACGGAAGAAGGAAGACUUGUAUGAUGUGAUAGCCAAGCAAUAGUACGGCAACAGAGGUAUCUUUGGAAAGCUUUCGACGGCUGCAGGCAACAUUGGUUGGCUGUACGGACGUUCUUAUUCCUCCAGCGAACUCGGCAGCAACAUUGGACGUUCCGUCGAAAAUUGCAAUUUCGACGGGCUUUGAUGGAGAUUCCGGCCGAGUUCUUUUCCUUCUUAUAGGAGGCAACACAAAUCGGGGUCGGGCACUGAAUUGCUUGGAGUUGGAGAAGGACACGGACUGCAAUUUUCCAUCCAAAUCACGACAGAGAAGCACACCGAAGAUUGGGAAGGAUACAGCGGAAGAGGCUGGAGGGGACUGGCAGCGGCGGACAGCAAGCGAGCGAGCGUACGAUGGCCGCCGUCACCGUGCGGCGCCGGCAUACGUUGCACCUCCUGCUCCCCGUUGGCCGGGGCCCCUGCUCCGCCACCCGUCCACCCCGUUCGCCGCGGCGGCCUGCAACACUGCCGGUGUGACAGUGAGCGUCUGCAUAUACGAAGAAACAGAGGACACGCGAAAGGGCUUCUCUGUUUUAUUGAAUCGUUUUUUCAGAUACACUUACAUAGGGAGUGCGGGUUGAAUACCAAAAAAUAGAAGGGCUUUUCUGCAAAAGUGCCGCGACGACGUACGACAUUAGGAAAAGAUUUUGACGAAAAUUUUGGUACCCCAAA